ACGGGUUUAGACCCGUAGCAAAUAGCUCCGUAACACGUGGUCAAACUACCCUCUGGACCGGAAUACCCUCGGGAAACUGAGGCUAAUUCCGGAUACUGCUUUCAUGUUGGAACACAGAAAGUCGGAAACGGUCCGCCGCCGGAGGACGUGACUGCGGCCGAUUAGGUAGACGGUGGGGUAACGGCCCACCGUGCCGAUAAUCGGUACGGGUUGUGAGAGCAAGAACCCGGAGACGGUAUCUGAGACAAGAUACCGGGCCCUACGGGGCGCAGCAGGCGCGAAACCUUUACACUGCACGCCAGUGCGAUAAGGGGACCCCGAGUGCGAGGGCAUACAGUCCUCGCUUUUCGUGACCGUAAGAAGGUCUCAGAAUAAGAGCUGGGCAAGACCGGUGCCAGCCGCCGCGGUAAUACCGGCAGCUCGAGUGAUAGCCACUAUUAUUGGGCCUAAAGCGUCCGUAGCCGGCCGAACAGGUCCGUCGGGAAAUCCACCCGCUCAACGGGUGGACGUCCGGCGGAAACCAGUCGGCUUGGGGCCGGGGAGACCAGAGAGGUACGUCCGGGGUAGGAGUGAAAUCCCGUAAUCCUGGACGGACCGCCGGUAGCGAAAGCGUCUCUGGAGAACGGACCCGACGGUGAGGGACGAAAGCUUGGGUCUCGAACCGGAUUAGAUACCCGGGUAGUCCAAGCUGUAAACGAUGCUCGCUAGGUGUGGCGUUGGCUACGAGCCAGCGCUGUGCCGUAGGGAAGCCGAGAAGCGAGCCGCCUGGGAAGUACGUCCGCAAGGAUGAA
rnacentral:rRNA from 1 species